rnacentral:misc_RNA from 1 species
CUUUUUUUUUUUUUUUUUCUUCUGGAUGUUACAGAAAAGAUCAGCAAUCUGCAAUUUGGAAUAAAGAUGCAUGGGCUUGACAAAACCUUUUAUUGCUUGAUCUUGGACAAUGUGGCAAUCAAUGUCUAAGUGUUUAGUGCACUCAUAGAAGAUGGGAUUGGUCGCAAUGUGUAAAGCGGCUUUGUUGUCACAAUGGAGUGGAAUAGGUGUAGGUAAGGGAAUGUGAAAAUCACGAAGAAGGUAAGACGACCACUGGAGUUCACAUACCGUUGAUGCCAUACUGCGGUAUUCAGCCUUGGCUGAUGAAUGACUCACAGUGGUUUAUUUCUUAGACUUCCAUGAAAUAAGAGAGCUGCCCAGAAAGAUACAAAACCCGAUAAUGGACUUUUGAGAAUCAGUGCACGAGCCUCAAUCAGUGUUACAUUAAGCAGCAAGAUUAAAAGAAUUCAAACUAGGGAAGAAUAAUCAUUUAUUCAGGCAACCUUUCAAAUAGCAAAGUACAUGUAAGGGGCGUCCCAGUGUUACUGGCGUGGUGCGUGCAUGUAUUGGCUCAAUUGUUGGACAGAAAAUGUGAUGUAUGGCAGAGUCAGA